UUUUGAAUAUUUCAAUAUUAUCAUCACCCAUCUAAGCAGUCUUAUCUGAACUGCACAGGGAGAAAACAGAAAGUGCAUUCUCAGCCUCCCUUGCCAGGAAGGUCUUGGUUAGAUUCCUCCAAAGGGGGAUUUCCAAAGAUUUGGGAAGGCAGAAGGAAGAGAGAUGCUGUUUUCCUCAUAGAAGCAUGAACAGACAGCUAAGGGAAGGACUGGACCUUGGAAAAGAAUUCCUUGACUUUGAUGAUUACAAAU
rnacentral:lncRNA from 1 species